GGCGAACACUCGUGUAGGCAACAUCGCUCAGCUUCGUGCAAGCGGGGCUGCGCUGGAAAGCAAGGAUCUUAAAGGCCGCUACGAUGGGUGGAGACGUGCCCGUGAUAUGUGGAGGAAGUACACCCACGAGAUGGAGCACCGGAUUGGGGAAGAGCGAGUAAAGGCUAAGCGUG